rnacentral:rRNA from 1 species
CAGCAGCCGCGGUAAAACGUAGGUCCCGAGCGUUGUCCGGAUUUAUUGGGCGUAAAGCGUCUGUAGGUGGCUUUUCAAGUCCGCCGUCAAUUCCCAGGGCUCAACCCUGGACAGGCGGUGGAAACUACCAAGCUGGAGUACGGUAGAGGCAGAGGGAAUUUCCGGUGGAGCGGUGGAAUGCGUUGAGAUCGGAAAGAACACCAACGGCGAAAGCACUCUGCUGGGCCGACACUGACACUGAGAGACCAAAGCUAGGGGAGCAAAUGGGAUUAGAUACCCCCGUAGUCCCUGUCUCUUAUAC